AUUGAACGCUGGCGGAAUGCUUUACACAUGCAAGUCGAACGGCAGCACGGGUGCUUGCACCUGGUGGCGAGUGGCGAACGGGUGAGUAAUGCACCGGAACGUAUCCAAUAAUGGGGGGAUAACGCACCGAAAGGUGUGCUAAUACCGCAUACGCCCUGAGGGGGAAAGCGGGGGAUCGUAAGACCUCGCGUUAAUGGAGCGGCCGAUGCCGGAUUAGCUAGUUGGUGAGGUAAAGGCUCACCAAGGCGACGAUCCGUAGCUGGUCUGAGAGGACGACCAGCCACACUGGAACUGAGACACGGCCCAGACUCCUACGGGAGGCAGCAGUGGGGAAUUUUGGACAAUGGGCGCAAGCCUGAUCCAGCCAUGCCGCGUGAGUGAAGAAGGCCUCGGUGUAAGACUCUUUCUAGACGGAAAGGAAAUACGCGCGCUCUAACAUAGCGUGUGGAGUGACGGUACCGUAAGAAGAAGACACCGGCUAACUACGUAGCCAGCAGCCGCGGUAA
rnacentral:rRNA from 1 species